AAAAGAAACCAACAGGGAUUACCUCAGUAACGGCGAGUGAAGCGGUAACAGCUCAAAUUUGAAAUCUGGCUCUUUCAGGGUCCGAGUUGUAAUUUGUAGAAGAUGCUUCAGGUGUGGCUCCGGUCUAAGUUCCUUGGAACAGGACGUCAUAGAGGGUGAGAAUCCCGUAUGUGACUGGUUGCCUUCGCCUAUGUGAAGCUCUUUCGACGAGUCGAGUUGUUUGGGAAUGCAGCUCUAAAUGGGAGGUAAAUUUCUUCUAAAGCUAAAUAUUGGCCAGAGACCGAUAGCGCACAAGUAGAGUGAUCGAAAGAUGAAAAGCACUUUGGAAAGAGAGUUAAACAGUACGUGAAAUUGUUGAAAGGGAAGCGCUUGCAACCAGACUUGCCUGCCGUCGAUCAUCCUCCGUUCUCGGGGGUGCACUCGGCGGUGGUCAGGCCAGCAUCGGUUUCGGUGGUGGGAUAAAGACCUUGGGAAUGUAGCUCCUCUCGGGGAGUGUUAUAGCCCUCGGUGCAAUGCCGCCUACCGGGACCGAGGACCGCGCUUCGGCUAGGAUGCUGGCGUAAUGGUUGUAAGCGACCCGUCUUGAAACACGGACCAAGGAGUCUAACAUCUAUGCGAGUGUUUGGGUGUUAAACCCAUACGCGUAAUGAAAGUGAACGGAGGUGAGAACCCUUUAGGGUGCAUCAUCGACCGAUCCUGAUGUCUUCGGAUGGAUUUGAGUAAGAGCAUAGCUGUUGGGACCCGAAAGAUGGUGAACUAUGCCUAAAUAGGGUGAAGCCAGAGGAAACUCUGGUGGAGGCUCGCAGCGGUUCUGACGUGCAAAUCGAUCGUCAAAUUUGGGUAUAGGGGCGAAAGACUAAUC
rnacentral:rRNA from 1 species